AUUACUCCUACGGGAGGCAGCAGUGAGGAAUAUUGGACAAUGGGUGAGAGCCUGAUCCAGCCAUCCCGCGUGAAGGAUGACGGUCCUAUGGAUUGUAAACUUCUUUUGUACAGGGAUAAACCCAGAUACGUGUAUCUGGCUGAAGGUACUGUACGAAUA
rnacentral:rRNA from 1 species